AAGAUUUUACCUUUCCUUCUGAUAUCACUGAAUUUUUAGGACAGCCAUAUUUUGAAGCCUUUAAGAAAAAAAUGCCUACAGCUUUUGCAGCUAAAGGAAUAAAUAAAUUGCUAAAUAAACUGUUUUUAAUAAAUGAGCAGUCACCAAGAGCCAGUGAAGAAACCUUACUUGGAAUUUCAAAAAAAGCUAAACAAAUGAAGAUCAAUGUACAGAAUAACGUGGAUCUUGGACAGCCAGUAAAGAAUAAGAGAGUCUUCAAAGAAAAGUCAUCAGAAUUUGAUGUGAGGGCUUUCUGCAACCAGCUGAAACACAAAGCUACUCAGUCCCCAGAACAGUUUUUCAACUGUAUCUCAAGAACUAUGGUGCUUUGUGAGCCUUGAAACUUCUGCAGCCUGUGCACCUGUUUGUAGGAGACCAGUUUUGAUUUUAAAUAUUCUCAAUCCAGACUAAAGACAACCAAGUAUUCUUCUCAGAAAGUGAUAGGAACUCCUCAUGCCAAAAGUUUUGUGCAAAGAUUCCGAGAGGCUGAGUCCUUCACACAACUUUCUGAAGAAAUCCAGAUGGCAGUUGUAUGGUGCAGGAGCAAAAAACUCAAGGCUCAGGCCAUUUUUCUGGGUAACAAACUUCUUAAAAGCAACCGGCUUAAACAUCUGGAAGCUCAAGGUACUAG
rnacentral:sRNA from 1 species